AGUCACCAAACACUAUAUGGAAGCUGGCUGGGGAGUCUGCAUUUCCUGAGGGCCACAUGCUGGGAGUCUGGUUGUAAUCAUCAUUAUUAUUGAUCAGAACUGAACCUUGGUUGAUGGUGUAUGAAGUAGUAUAAUGAUGUGAGCUUUUGGUGUGCAAACAUACACAGUUCAUUGACUUUACUCGCAAAUCUCCACAGAGUGCUCAUCAAACGGUAUAGGAGCUGCCCCAGAAAGGAGUAUCCAUCCAAAAUAGUCAGUUACAAGAUAAACCAAAAAGAUAGUGGCCAGAGAAAGGAAUUCCAAAAUGACAGAUAUGUGUUACAAGUUCAGAAAAGCAGAGAAAAUAAGAAACAGAAGCAUAAAGCUGAGGUUAAAAAGGCUUCUCUCUCGAAGGCCUUUCCCACAAAGCAGUUGCUCAGAAAGCACAAAUU
rnacentral:lncRNA from 1 species